rnacentral:rRNA from 1 species
CCUACGGGCGGCACCAGUGGGGAAUAUUGGACAAUGGGCGAAAGCCUGAUCCAGCAAUGCCGCGUGAGUGAUGAAGGCCUUAGGGUUGUAAAGCUCUUUUACCCGGGAUGAUAAUGACAGUACCGGGAGAAUAAGCUCCGGCUAACUCCGUGCCAGCAGCCGCGGUAAUACGGAGGGAGCUAGCGUUGUUCGGAAUUACUGGGUGUAAAGCGCGCGUAGGCGGUUAUUCAAGUCAGAGAUGAAAGCCCGGGGCUCAACCCCGGAACUGCCUUUGAAACUAGAUAACUAGAAUCUUGGAGAGGUCAGUGGAAUUCCGAGUGUAGAGGAGAAAUUCGUAGAUAUUCGGAAGAACACCAGUGGCGAAGGCGACUGACUGGACAAGUAUUGACGCUGAGGUGCGAAAGCGUGGGGAGCAAACAGGAUUAGAUACCCCAGUAGUC